rnacentral:rRNA from 1 species
AGAUUUUGAACGCACAUUGCGCUUUCGGGAUUUUCCCGGUAGCAUGCUUGUCUGAGUGUCUGUGGAUCCCACUCAGCGCUGGUCUACUCUGUAGGCCCAGUUGCUGGUUGCUAUGGCUCUGACCGCUCUAGUAGCGGUCUCUGCUUAAAUUCUACAACAUUGUACGUGCAUAGAUCUAGAAAAGUCUUGUGUUGUCUGAAUGACGGCGUUGACGCUCUUGUCUAUCUCUGGUAGCUUGUAUGAAAAUGCAUUCUCUGGAGUUUAACUAGGGGUGUCUAUUAGCUGUCUGCCAAACUAUCGAGUUUUUCUCUGGGUCUGGCCACGCAGCUGUGUAAAAGCAGUCUGCUGGCUAUCCAAUUCCGGAUCUCAGAUCAAGCAAGAGGACCCGCCGAAUUUAAGCAUAUAAUUAAGCGGAGGAAAAGAAACUAACUAGGAUUCCCUCAGUAACGGCGAGUGAAGCGGGACUAGCUCAGGAUGUGAAUCUGCGCUUUUAUGGCGCCGAAUUGUGGUCUGUAGACUUUGACGUUAUCUGCCGGGCCAAGUUCCUUGGAAAAGGACAGCUGAGAGGGUGAAACUCCCGUUCGCCUGGUAGAAUGAGUCUUUGUCAACGAGUCGAGUUGUUUGGGAUUGCAGCUCUAAUUUGGUGGUAAAUUCCAUCUAAAGCUAAAUAUUGGUGGGAGACCGAUAGCGUACAAGUACCGUGAGGGAAAGAUGCAAAGAACUUUGAAAAGAGAGUUAAAGAGUACCUGAAAUUGCUGAAACGGAAGCGAAGGAAACCAGUGUUUGUUGGUUCAUAUUUCCCUGGCCACUUGUGGUUUGGGCGCUGUGAGCUUGCGU